GAUGAACGCUGGCGGCGUGCCUAAUACAUGCAAGUCGAGCGAACGGACGAGAAGCUUGCUUCUCUGAUGUUAGCGGCGGACGGGUGAGUAACACGUGGAUAACCUACCUAUAAGACUGGGAUAACUUCGGGAAACCGGAGCUAAUACCGGAUAAUACUUUGAACCGCAUGGUUCAAAAGUGAAAGACGGUCUUGCUGUCACUUAUAGAUGGAUCCGCGCUGCAUUAGCUAGUUGGUAAGGUAACGGCUUACCAAGGCAACGAUGCAUAGCCGACCUGAGAGGGUGAUCGGCCACACUGGAACUGAGACACGGUCCAGACUCCUACGGGAGGCAGCAGUAGGGAAUCUUCCGCAAUGGGCGAAAGCCUGACGGAGCAACGCCGCGUGAGUGAAGAAGGUCUUCGGAUCGUAAAACUCUGUUAUUAGGGAAGAACAAAUGUGUAAGUAACUAUGCACGUCUUGACGGUACCUAAUCAGAAAGCCACGGCUAACUACGUGCCAGCAGCCGCGGUAAUACGUAGGUGGCAAGCGUUAUCCGGAAUUAUUGGGCGUAAAGCGCGCGUAGGCGGUUUUUUAAGUCUGAUGUGAAAGCCCACGGCUCAACCGUGGAGGGUCAUUGGAAACUGGAAAACUUGAGUGCAGAAGAGGAAAGUGGAAUUCCAUGUGUAGCGGUGAAAUGCGCAGAGAUAUGGAGGAACACCAGUGGCGAAGGCGACUUUCUGGUCUGUAACUGACGCUGAUGUGCGAAAGCGUGGGGAUCAAACAGGAUUAGAUACCCUGGUAGUCCACGCCGUAAACGAUGAGUGCUAAGUGUUAGGGGGUUUCCGCCCCUUAGUGCUGCAGCUAACGCAUUAAGCACUCCGCCUGGGGAGUACGACCGCAAGGUUGAAACUCAAAGGAAUUGACGGGGACCCGCACAAGCGGUGGAGCAUGUGGUUUAAUUCGAAGCAACGCGAAGAACCUUACCAAAUCUUGACAUCCUUUGACAACUCUAGAGAUAGAGCUUUCCCCUUCGGGGGACAAAGUGACAGGUGGUGCAUGGUUGUCGUCAGCUCGUGUCGUGAGAUGUUGGGUUAAGUCCCGCAACGAGCGCAACCCUUAAGCUUAGUUGCCAUCAUUAAGUUGGGCACUCUAAGUUGACUGCCGGUGACAAACCGGAGGAAGGUGGGGAUGACGUCAAAUCAUCAUGCCCCUUAUGAUUUGGGCUACACACGUGCUACAAUGGACAAUACAAAGGGCAGCGAAACCGUGAGGUCAAGCAAAUCCCAUAAAGUUGUUCUCAGUUCGGAUUGUAGUCUGCAACUCGACUACAUGAAGCUGGAAUCGCUAGUAAUCGUAGAUCAGCAUGCUACGGUGAAUACGUUCCCGGGUCU
rnacentral:rRNA from 1 species